GGGAAGGGAUUGCUUGGAGUUUGCUACAACACAGAGGUGAACUGUGUUGUAUGACAGUAGUCUCAGGGGCAACAGUGUACUUGCAAAGACCCCAUGCACAGAAGUUGACUUGGCUGUAAUACAAGGACAUUAGUUUACCCAUCUUAAGCCAGAGUUUCUUUCUGCUCUGUAUCCUGUCUCUUUCAGUGAGCCUUUUACAUCAUGGGUCCAAAUCUGAAGUAAAAAUCUAUGAACUAGCUCAUCUCUCUCAGCCUUUCUCCAUAAGGAAGGUACUCCAGCACGUUGGUCAUCUUUGUGGCCCUCCUCUGGACCUGCUCCAACAACUCUAUAUCCUUGCAACUUAAACAAAAGUAACCUGCAGCCCAUCAUCUGCACAGACCAGAAGAAAAAUGUGUUUUAAAGGCACUUCAGAGAUGCAUUCAACUUCACUAGUUUAUGUGCAAUACAGAAUAUCUUCAGAAUCA
ensembl:lncRNA